CCCUCCCUCUCAUCCCCUCUUCUCCCUCCCCUUCCCUCUGUCUCAUCUCCUCUUCUACAUCCACACUCCUUGGUGCUGUCAUCCAGUCUCACAAGUUUAAAUGACAUCCAUACACCGUUAACCACAAAAUCUGUAUCUGCAGAGUCCUGACACUCACCUGAAUAUUCUCUUUCCCCUUCCCAGUCCUGACGCUCACCUGAAUCUGCUGCCUCCCCUUCCCAGUCCUGACACUCACCUGAAUCUUCUCCCUCCCCUCCCCAGUCCUGACACUCACCUGAAUCUUCUCCCUCCCCUCCCCAGUCCUGACACUCACCUGAAUCUUCUCCCUCCCCUUCCCAGUCCUGACACUCACCUGAAUCUGCUGCCUCUCCUUCCCAAGCAUCUCACAGCUUUCCCAAACUCAACUAACAUUCACCGAGUUUGUAUAUGCACCAAGCACUCUUCUAAUUGUUUUACAGGCAUUAACAUAUUUAAUUCCUUCAACAGCUAUAAUACCCAGGAUAAAAGCCGACUCCCCGACAAGGACCAAAGCAGCGGACACUCUUUAAUUUGACCCUGGGAGGAGCUUGGUCAGGGAAGGCCGACGGCCAAUGGGACUUGUCUUGAAGCUGCUGUUUGCUUCAAAUUCUUAACAGGCAGUCUUUGCACCACUUAUGAAUGUGUGUGUGAGUGUGUGUGUGUGUUUUGGUCGCUCUAUAACAAACACCCCAAGCUUAGCAACAUAAAAAAGAAAUUAUUUUGUUAUGCUUGCAGAUUCAGAAAAUGCAAGGUACGGAUGGCUUCUUUCUAGUCCACUAUAUCUGGGGCUAGAAUUAGGAAGGAAGGAAGUCAGUUAGGAAGAUUCGAUGACUGGGAAUAGCCCAACAUUUAGAGGGAUGUAAAGUGAGGUUAGAAGGUACUAAAAAGUGAAGGCUGUACCGUUGCCUGUCGUAUAAACUCUGGCUGUAGUUUUCAAGCUGGGAUGACCUUAUCCCUCAGUGGACACUGGCAACGUCUGGACAGUUUUGAUUGUCACUACUGGGGAAAGGAAUGCUUUCAGGGCAUCUAAUGGGUGGAGGCCAGGGAUGGCCUUCAGUGCACAGGACAGCCCCUACCACACACACAACAAAGAAUCAUCCAGCUCCAAAUGUCAUGCUGUUGUUUGGAAUUUUCUUCAGCAAGCAUAUCUGAAAACAGGUUUGUAUCAUGGCAAGGAAUCGUGAAAUGUGCUCACAUAAGAGCCAGCUGUGCGCUGCACCCCUUUGCGAGCAUGCAGGACAGGAAUUCAUUAUGUGAGACAAUGAGGAGAAGAGACAGCCAGUCCCAGGAAAUUAAAGAAAAGUUGGCUCUCCGCAGCAUCUAGGGACAUAAUCUGCAAAGCAGACAGCUGCAAGUUAAAUGUUUGGAUGGUUCAGAAAUGGACAGUUCUGCACUGCUGGCCAUGAUGAGCUGUUUCCAAGAGCUACUCCCCUCGUGAGUUGCUUGGAGAUGCAUGUAUUUCCUGGACCUCAGCUGAACCCUGGGUUUGUCUCUUGGAGGGAACAAUCCGUGGUGGGUCAGUGAGCUGAGCUGGAGUCGUGACUGGACUGUCUUGACUUUCGAACUGCAUCUUGUUAGACACCACGGGCUUCAUGUUGUAACAGUCAGUAUCUAGUCAGGCCUGUGCCAGGCGGGAGGGGCUCUCCCGACCCCACCAAGAACGUCAGGUGACCAUCAGGUGAUGGCCAGGGAGCUGUCACACUGCCUUUCUGAAAUAAUAACUGGUCACAGCCCGUGCUAGGUAAAAGCAGUUUCCCGAUAGAUAAAAACACCUGAGACUGGUGAUCGGCAGCUUCCCAAUAAGAUAUCAAGAGUUGGGCGAGUGGGCUGGAGCAUGUCCAUCGAGAGACAAAAUGGUGGAGUUUAACUGGUAUUUAACUGGUGUUUGACCUUCUAGGGGCAUUCUACCUGGAAGGGAAGAGCGCCUCCGGUGAGCAUGCGUACAACUCCAGUAAAUACGCUACACGUGCGGCCCCUCCCAAGUGCUAGCGGGCCACCGAGCAUGGAGGCAGCUCAAGUCAAAUUCUUUCUUCUGAAGAGGCAGGAAUCGAGGUUGCUGAGGACCCAUAAGGAUCCGCCUCUGAUCACGUAUUUUGGUGCUGGGUCACUUGGAGAAUUUGCAUCGCUAACAACAUCAGAACAUUCCCUCCAUCUGAAUCUUCUUUUUCAUGCAAGACUAGACACAUCCAUUCUGUGAGAUUCCCUCCCCCAGUCUAGCUGCCCCGUCUGCUGCUGGAGCUCCCACCUGUUGCAAGACUCAGGGGAGGUGUGAUGAGGGGACCCCUGGUGCUGCCAUGGAAACCACACCAGGAAUGGGGGAGAGGUGUGACUGGGAACAAGGGAGGGAAGCCCUCAGAGUGAGCUCUGGAAAGUGUCUGGGUAAGGUUGCCCCAAAUUCCAUCCUAGCACACAGUAUCUGCUCAAUAAAUAUUUAAUGGAGCAAAUUAAUGAAAUUCUGCAACCUUUCUUUUUUUUUUUUU